AUUGAACGCUGGCGGCAUGCCUUACACAUGCAAGUCGAACGGUAACGCGGGGCAACCUGGCGACGAGUGGCGAACGGGUGAGUAAUGCAUCGGAACGUGCCCGGUAGUGGGGGAUAACUGCUCGAAAGAGCAGCUAAUACCGCAUACGACCUGAGGGUGAAAGGGGGGGAUCGCAAGACCUCUCGCUAUCGGAGCGGCCGAUGUCGGAUUAGCUAGUUGGUGGGGUAAAGGCCUACCAAGGCAACGAUCCGUAGCUGGUCUGAGAGGACGACCAGCCACACUGGGACUGAGACACGGCCCAGACUCCUACGGGAGGCAGCAGUGGGGAAUUUUGGACAAUGGACGCAAGUCUGAUCCAGCCAUGCCGCGUGCGGGAAGAAGGCCUUCGGGUUGUAAAGCUCUUUCGGCCGGGAAGAAAUCGCAUAGGUUAAUACCCUGUGUGGAUGACGGUACCGGAAUAAGAAGCACCGGCUAACUACGUGCCAGCAGCCGCCGUAAGAC
rnacentral:rRNA from 1 species